GGUCAGGACGAACGCUGGCGGCGUGCCUAACACAUGCAAGUCGAGCGGAGUUACAAGAGGAAGUUUCGAUGGAAUUUGUAAUUAGCGGCGGACGGGUGAGUAACGCGUGAGCGACCAACCUUGCACAGGGGGAUAACGGACCGAAAGGUUCACUAAUACCGCAUGAGACCACGGUGUUGCAUGACACAGAGGUCAAAGGAGCAAUCCGGUGCAAGACGGGCUCGCGUCCGAUUAGGUAGUUGGUGGGGUAAUGGCCCACCAAGCCUAUGAUCGGUAGCCGACCUGAGAGGGUGAUCGGCCACAUUGGAACUGAGAUACGGUCCAAACUCCUACGGGAGGCAGCAGUGGGGAAUAUUGGGCAAAUGGGGGAAACCCUGACCCAGCAACGCCGCGUGAAGGAAGAAGGUUUUCGGAUUGUAAACUUCUGUCCUUGGUGAAGAGAAGAAGACGGUAGCCAAGGAGGAAGCCCCGGCUAACUACGUGCCAGCCGCCGC
rnacentral:rRNA from 1 species